rnacentral:rRNA from 1 species
AUACGAAGGGGGCUAGCGUUGUUCGGAAUUACUGGGCGUAAAGCGCGCGUAGGCGGAUUGGUCAGUUAGGGGUGAAAUCCCAGGGCUUAACCCUGGAACUGCCUCUAAUACUGCCAGUCUUGAGUUCGGGAGAGGUGAGUGGAAUUCCUAGUGUAGAGGUGAAAUUCGUAGAUAUUAGGAAGAACACCAGUGGCGAAGGCGGCUCACUGGCCCGAUACUGACGCUGAGGCGCGAAAGCGUGCGGAGCAAACAGGAUUAGAUACCCUAGUAGUCC